rnacentral:tRNA from 1 species
GGGAAUGUGAAUUAGUGGUAGAGUGCUUGCCUAGCAUGCAUGAGGCCCUGGGUUUCAUUCCUCAUUCCCA